rnacentral:rRNA from 1 species
UCUGGUUGAUCCUGCCAGUAGUCAUAUGCUUGUCUCAAAGAUUAAGCCAUGCAUGUCUAAGUAUAAGCAAUUUAUACAGUGAAACUGCGAAUGGCUCAUUAAAUCAGUUAUCGUUUAUUUGAUAGUUCCUUUACUACAUGGUAUAACUGUGGUAAUUCUAGAGCUAAUACAUGCUUAAAAUCUCGACCCUUUGGAAGAGAUGUAUUUAUUAGAUAAAAAAUCAAUGUCUUCGGACUCUUUGAUGAUUCAUAAUAACUUUUCGAAUCGCAUGGCCUUGUGCUGGCGAUGGUUCAUUCAAAUUUCUGCCCUAUCAACUUUCGAUGGUAGGAUAGUGGCCUACCAUGGUUUCAACGGGUAACGGGGAAUAAGGGUUCGAUUCCGGAGAGGGAGCCUGAGAAACGGCUACCACAUCCAAGGAAGGCAGCAGGCGCGCAAAUUACCCAAUCCUAAUUCAGGGAGGUAGUGACAAUAAAUAACGAUACAGGGCCCAUUCGGGUCUUGUAAUUGGAAUGAGUACAAUGUAAAUACCUUAACGAGGAACAAUUGGAGGGCAAGUCUGGUGCCAGCAGCCGCGGUAAUUCCAGCUCCAAUAGCGUAUAUUAAAGUUGUUGCAGUUAAAAAGCUCGUAGUUGAACUUUGGGCCCGGUUGGCCGGUCCGAUUUUUUCGUGUACUGGAUUUCCAACGGGGCCUUUCCUUCUGGCUAACCUUGAGUCCUUGUGGCUCUUGGCGAACCAGGACUUUUACUUUGAAAAAAUUAGAGUGUUCAAAGCAGGCGUAUUGCUCGAAUAUAUUAGCAUGGAAUAAUAGAAUAGGACGUUUGGUUCUAUUUUGUUGGUUUCUAGGACCAUCGUAAUGAUUAAUAGGGACGGUCGGGGGCAUCAGUAUUCAAUUGUCAGAGGUGAAAUUCUUGGAUUUAUUGAAGACUAACUACUGCGAAAGC